rnacentral:rRNA from 1 species
UACUUGUGGCGUUUUAGUGGCGGACGGGUGAGUAACGCGUGGGCAACCUGCCCUGUACCGGGGGAUAACACUUAGAAAUAGGUGCUAAUACCGCAUAAUAGGGAAUACCGCAUGGUAAUCCUUUGAAAACUCCGGUGGUACAGGAUGGGCCCGCGUCUGAUUAGCCAGUUGGCGGGGUAACGGCCCACCAAAGCGACGAUCAGCAGCCGGCCUGAGAGGGUGGACGGCCACACUGGGACUGAGACACGGCCCAGACUCCUACGGGAGGCAGCAG